UACGAGUACCCCAAGCGUUAUCCGGAUUUAUUGGGCGUAAAGCGUGCGCAGGCGGCUUGUAACAUCUCUUGUUAAAUCCCAAGGCUCAACCUUGGGGCCGCGAGAGAUAUGGAUAAGCUAGAGACUGGAAGAGGUAAGCGGAAUUGCUGGUGUAGGGGUUAAAUCCGUUAAUAUCAGCAGGAACACCAAAAGCGAAGGCAGCUUACUAGAACAGUUCUGACGCUCAUGCACGAAAGCGUGGGGAGCGAAUGGG
rnacentral:rRNA from 1 species